rnacentral:rRNA from 1 species
AUUGAACGCUGGCGGCAGGCUUAACACAUGCAAGUCGAGCGGAGUGAUGGUGCUUGCACUAUCACUUAGCGGCGGACGGGUGAGUAAUGCUUAGGAAUCUGCCAUUUAGUGGGGGACAACAUUCCGAAAGGAAUGCUAAUACCGCAUACGUCCUACGGGAGAAAGCAGGGGAUCUUCGGACCUUGCGCUAAAUGAUGAGCCUAAGUCGGAUUAGCUAGUUGGUGGGGUAAAGGCCUACCAAGGCGACGAUCUGUAGCGGGUCUGAGAGGAUGAUCCGCCACACUGGGACUGGGACACGGCCCAGACUCCUACGGGAGGCAGCAGUGGGGAAUAUUGGACAAUGGGCGGAAGCCUGAUCCAGCCAUGCCGCGUGUGUGAAGAAGGCCUUUUGGUUGUAAAGCACUUUAAGCGAGGAGGAGGCUCUCCUAGUUAAUACCUAGGAAGAGUGGACGUUACUUGCAGAAUAAGCACCGGCUAACUCUGUGCCAGCCGCCGCAGUAAUAC